UACGUAGGGGGCAAGCGUUGUCCGGAAUCAUUGGGCGUAAAGAGCGUGUAGGCGGCCCGGUAAGUCCGCUGUAAAAGUCAAAGGCUCAACCUUUGAAUGUCAGUGGAUACUGCCGGGCUAGAGUCCGGAAGAGGCGAGUGGAACUCCUGGUGUAGCGGUGGAAUGCGCAGAUAUCAGGAGGAACACCGGUGGCGAAGGCGGGUCUCUGGGCCGAUACUGACGCUGAGGAGCGAAAGCGUGGGGAGCGAACAGG
rnacentral:rRNA from 1 species